AUUGAACGCUGGCGGCAGGCCUAACACAUGCAAGUCGAGCGAGCGGCGCACGGGUGAGUAAUGUAUGGGGAGUGCGCGAUAGAGGGGGAUCACUUCUGGACACUGUCGCUAAUACCGCAUACUAUCGGAUAACCCAUAUGGGAUUAGCUAGUAGGUGGGGUAAAGGCAAACCUAGGCGACGAUCUCUCGCGGGUCUGAGAGGAUGAUCAGCCAAACUGGGACGGAGACACGGCCCAGACUCCUACGGAGGCAGCAGUGGGGAAUAUUGCACAAUGGGCGCAAGCCUGAUGCAGCCAUGCCGCGUGUAUGAAGAAGGCCUUAGGGUUGUAAAGUACUUUCAGCGGGGAGGCGUUACCCGCAGAAGAAGCACCGGCUAACUCCGUGCCAGCAGCCGCGGUAAUAC
rnacentral:rRNA from 1 species